rnacentral:rRNA from 1 species
GGGCUUCGCAGGCGGUUUUCUUAAGUCUGAUGUGAAAGCCCCCGGCUCAACCGGGGAGGGUCAUUGGAAACUGGGAAACUUGAGUGCAGAAGAGGAGAGUGGAAUUCCACGUGUAGCGGUGAAAUGCGUAGAGAUGUGGAGGAACACCAGUGGCGAAGGCGACUCUCUGGUCUGUAACUGACGCUGAGGAGCGAAAGCGUGGGGAGCGAACAGGAUUAGAUACCCUGGUAGUCCACGCCGUAAACGAUGAGUGCUAAGUGUUAGGGGGUUUCCGCCCCUUAGUGCUGCAGCUAACGCAUUAAGCACUCCGCCUGGGGAGUACGGUCGCAAGACUGAAACUCAAAGGAAUUGACGGGGGCCCGCACAAGCGGUGGAGCAUGUGGUUUAAUUCGAAGCAACGCGAAGAACCUUACCAGGUCUUGACGUCCUCUGACAACCCUAGAGAUAGGGCUUUCCCUUCGGGGACAGAGUGACAGGUGGUGCAUGGUUGUCGUCAGCUCGUGUCGUGAGAUGUUGGGUUAAGUCCCGCAACGAGCGCAACCCUUGAUCUUAGUUGCCAGCAUUCAGUUGGGCACUCUAAGGUGACUGCCGGUGACAAACCGGAGGAAGGUGGGGAUGACGUCAAAUCAUCAUGCCCCUUAUGACCUGGGCUACACACGUGCUACAAUGGACAGAACAAAGGGCUGCGAGACCGCAAGGUUUAGCCAAUCCCACAAAUCUGUUCUCAGUUCGG